rnacentral:rRNA from 1 species
UGGGGGAUAUUGCACAAUGGGCGAAAGCCUGAUGCAGCGACGCCGCGUGGGGGAUGAAGGCCUUCGGGUUGUAAACUUCUUUUGCUCUGAACAAGGCAUGCUAAUGGGUGUGUUGAGUAUAGGGGUUGAUUAGCGCCGGCUAACUACGUGCCAGCAGCCGCGGUAAUACGUAGGGCGCGAGCGUUGUCCGGAAUUAUUGGGCGUAAAGGGCUUGUAGGUGGCUGGUUGCGUCUGUCGUGAAAGCUCAUGGCUUAACUGUGGGUUUGCGGUGGGUACGGGCUGGCUUGAGUGCAGUAGGGGAGGCUGGAAUUCCUGGUGUAGCGGUGGAAUGCGCAGAUAUCAGGAGGAAUACCGGUGGCGAAGGCGGGGCUCUGGGCUGUUACUGACACUGAGGAGCGAAAGCAUGGGGAGCGAACAGG